rnacentral:rRNA from 1 species
UACGUAGGUGGCAAGCGUUGUCCGGAUUUAUUGGGUUUAAAGGGUGCGUAGGCGGCCCUGUAAGUCAGUGCUGAAAUAUCCCGGCUUAACCGGGAGGGUGGCAUUGGUACUGCAGGGCUUGAGUACAGAUGAAGUAGGCGGAAUUGACGGUGUAGCGGUGAAAUGCAUAGAUAUCGUCAAGAACACCGAUAGCGAAGGCAGCUUACUAAGCUGUAACUGACGCUGAGGCACGAAAGUGUGGGGAUCAAACAGG